rnacentral:tRNA from 1 species
GCCGAAGUUGCCAAGCCUGGUCAAAGGCGACAGACUCAAGAUCUGUUCUCGUAGGAGUUCACCGGUUCGAAUCCGGUCUUCGGCA